AAGUCGAACGGGGAACAUUUUAUGGAAGCUUCGGUGGAAAUAGCUUGUUCCUAGUGGCGGACGGGUGAGUAACGCGUGGGUAACCUGCCUUAUACAGGGGGAUAACAGUCAGAAAUGGCUGCUAAUACCGCAUAAGCGCACAGAGCUGCAUGGCUCAGUGUGAAAAACUCCGGUGGUAUAAGAUGGACCCGCGUUGGAUUAGCUUGUUGGUGGGGUAACGGCCCACCAAGGCGACGAUCCAUAGCCGGCCUGAGAGGGUGAACGGCCACAUUGGGACUGAGACACGGCCCAGACUCCUACGGGAGGCAGCAGUGGGGAAUAUUGCACAAUGGGGGAAACCCUGAUGCAGCGACGCCGCGUGAAGGAAGAAGUAUCUCGGUAUGUAAACUUCUGUCAGCAGGGAAGAUAGUGACGGUACCUGACUAAGAAGCCCCGGCUAACUACGUGCCAGCAGCCGCGGUAAUACGUAGGGGGCAAGCGUUAUCCGGAUUUACUGGGUGUAAAGGGAGCGUAGACGGUGUGGCAAGUCUGAUGUGAAAGGCAUGGGCUCAACCUGUGGACUGCAUUGGAAACUGUCAUACUUGAGUGCCGGAGGGGUAAGCGGAAUUCCUAGUGUAGCGGUGAAAUGCGUAGAUAUUAGGAGGAACACCAGUGGCGAAGGCGGCUUACUGGACGGUAACUGACGUU
rnacentral:rRNA from 1 species